AGAGUUUGAUCCUGGCUCAGGAUGAACGCUGACAGAAUGCUUAACACAUGCAAGUCUACUUGAUCCUUCGGGUGAUGGUGGCGGACGGGUGAGUAACGCGUAAAGAACUUGCCCUGCAGUCUGGGACAACAUUUGGAAACGAAUGCUAAUACCGGAUAUUAUGUGAGUUUCGCAUGAAAUUCAUAUGAAAGCUAUAUGCGCUGCAGGAGAGCUUUGCGUCCUAUUAGCUAGUUGGUGAGGUAACGGCUCACCAAGGCGAUGAUAGGUAGCCGGCCUGAGAGGGUGAACGGCCACAAGGGGACUGAGACACGGCCCUUACUCCUACGGGAGGCAGCAGUGGGGAAUAUUGGACAAUGGACCAAAAGUCUGAUCCAGCAAUUCUGUGUGCACGAUGAAGUUUUUCGGAAUGUAAAGUGCUUUCAGUUGGGACGAAGUAAGUGACGGUACCAACAGAAGAAGCGACGGCUAAAUACGUGCCAGCAGCCGCGGUAAUACGUAUGUCGCAAGCGUUAUCCGGAUUUAUUGGGCGUAAAGCGCGUCUAGGCGGUUUGGUAAGUCUGAUGUGAAAAUGCGGGGCUCAACUCCGUAUUGCGUUGGAAACUGCCAAACUAGAGUACUGGAGAGGUGGGCGGAACUACAAGUGUAGAGGUGAAAUUCGUAGAUAUUUGUAGGAAUGCCAAUGGGGAAGCCAGCCCACUGGACAGAUACUGACGCUAAAGCGCGAAAGCGUGGGUAGCAAACAGGAUUAGAUACCCUGGUAGUCCACGCCGUAAACGAUGAUUACUAGGU
rnacentral:rRNA from 1 species